GGGGGUGGGCACCAGGGUCCCGUGCUUCUAACAGGCUCCCAGGUGACACGAUGCAGCUGGUCCUGGGAACACACUUGGCGCCCAAGGUUUUAGAUGGAGACUUCCUCCCUCCUCAGAUCACCACCACUGUCUUCGUUCUCUAUUGUUGCCAUGACAAAUUACCAUAGACUCCGUGGCCCAGCAGACAGUGCUGCAGGUCAGAAGUCCCUGCGGUCUCCCCGGGCUAAAGUGAGGGGUCGGCAGGGCUGGCUCCUUCCAGAGACUCUGGGGAGCAUCUGUUUCUUGCCUUUAUCCAGCUUCUAGAAGUGCCCGCAUUCCUUGGCUCACGGCCCCUCCUCCAUGUUGAAAGCUGGCAACGUGGCCUCUCUCUGCCUUUCCUCCAUGGUCACAUCUCCCCCUGACCACCGCCGGGAAAGCCCUCCACUUUUCAGGACCCAGGUUCCGGGUUUAGGAUGCGGACAUCUUCCUGCCUCUCUGCCGGCCCCUCUCCCAGCUGAGGACAGCGCUUUACCAGCAGGAGCAGAGCAGUCCCACCACCACCACUGCGUCCCUGGGCUCUGUGCUCUGUGUUCUGCACUGGUCUCACCUGAGACCCCGGCACAUGCAGACGCCUCACUGAGCUGGUUCUUUUACUCGUCCAAAAGGAUCGUUUACGUGCUGCUCCCAGACAAGAUGAAACAGUCUGCUCUCAGCGGCCGGGCAGAGAAAAGGCUCCCACCCAUACCCGCUCCCAUGACCCACAUCCUGGCCCACCCCCUCCUAUGAUCCCACACACGUCCAGACCAGGAGGUUCCAUACUGAGCCAUCUCCUGCCCCUUUGUCGCACACCUCGGUCAUUUCCUCUGGUCUGUCUUUCUAUUUACAGAUGUUUCCAUAGACAUGAAGAUAUAAUUGUGCUCAUGCCGCUUCCCAGCCACUCUCCAGAAGAAAGCGUCCGCGUGGCGGGAGGGCAAACACUUCACAGAAGAGGGGCCCUUUAUCUCAGCACCUACAUUUAAUUUCUAAAAUCAUUUUAUGAAGGCAAGAGAUUGAGAUUCACUUUUCAAAAUAUAUUUGCUUGCAACCUAGAAACAAGCAAAAAUAAAGACUCUGGAAAUCGUCGUGUGAGGGAAGGGAGAGUUUUGAGCCAAAGACAAUGCUCUGACUUUAUUUUUCUUCUUUGUGCAGCCUCCGUGUGGAUUAGCCUGGACAGGGCAG
rnacentral:lncRNA from 1 species